GUGCUCGCUUCAGCAGCACAUACACUAAAAUUGGAAAAAUAUAGAUAACAUUAGCAUGGCCCCUGCACAAGGAUGACAUGCAAAUUUGUGAGGCAUUCCAUAUGUUU